rnacentral:rRNA from 1 species
UAUUUGACUCAACGCGGGAAAUCUUACCGGGUCCGGACACACUGAGGAUUGACAGGCAAUAUCUCAUGUUUAAUAACCGUUAUUAACGUAUCGUGUUAUUUAAUACAUCGAGUGUUAAAUAUGCUAGUCCUUUCAUGAUUAUGUGAUAGGUGGUGCAUGGCCGUUCUUAGUUCGUGGAGUGAUCUGUCUGCUUAAUUGCGUUUCACUAAGGGCCCAUAAAUUCAAGGUAUGUUAGCUAUCUGUCGCUCUAUGGACCCCUUAACCGAGUUAAAUCGAGUUAAGCGCGCGUCUUUAUUUAAAGAGUUUAAGACAUUGCGCAUGCUGUUGGGCUCUGAAAGCAACGAACGUGACCGCAACGUCUUGUUGCCUUAAUAAAG